CCUACGGGAGGCAGCAGUGAGGAAUAUUGGUCAAUGGCCGGAAGUCUGAACCAGCCAAGCCGCGUGAAGGACGAAGGUGCCAAGCAUUGUAAACUUCUUUUGUCAAGGGACAAAAUCAGGCUCGAGAGCCUGACCGAGGGUACUUUACGAAAAAGCAUCGGCUAACUCCGUGCCAGCAGCCGCGGUAAUACGGAGGAUGCGAGCGUUAUCCGGAUUUAUGGGGUUUAAAGGGUGCGUGGGGGGGCUGUUAAGUCAGCGGGAAAAGCCCGGGGCUCAACCCCGGCGAGCCGUUGAAACUGGCGGGCUUGAGAUGUCGAGAGGUAGGCGGAAUGCGCAGUGUAGCGGUGAAAUGCUUAGAUAUUGCGAAGAACUCCGAUUGCGAAGGCAGCAUACCGGAGGCGAUCUGACGCUGAGGUACGAAAGCGUGGGUAUCGAACAGGAUUAGAUACCCCAGUAGUC
rnacentral:rRNA from 1 species